rnacentral:rRNA from 1 species
UACGGGGGGGGGCAAGCGUUGUUCGGAAUUACUGGGCGUAAAGGGCUCGUAGGCGGCCAACUAAGUCAGACGGGAAAUCCCCAGGCUCAACCUGGGAACUGCGUCUGAUACUGGAUGGCUUGAAUCCGGGAGAGGGAUGCAGAAUUCCAGGUGUAGCGGUGAAAUGCGUAGAUAUCUGGAGGAACACCGGUGGCGAAGGCGGCAUCCUGGACCAACACUGACACUGAGGAGCGAAAGCCAGGGGAGCAAACGGG